rnacentral:rRNA from 1 species
CCUACGGGUGGCAGCAGUGGGGAAUAUUGGACAAUGGGGGGAACCCUGAUCCAGCGAUGCCGCGUGUGUGAAGAAGGCCUGCGGGUUGUAAAGCACUUUAGUUGGGGAGGAAAGUUGGGGUAGUAGACCAAUGUGACGUUACCCAAAGAAUAAGCACCGGCAAACUCUGUGCCAGCAGCCGCGGUAAUACAGAGGGUGCGAGCGUUAAUCGGAAUUAUUGGGCGUAAAGGGCGCGUAGGUGGAUAUUUAAGUUGGAUGUGAAAGACUGGAGCUUAACUUCGGGCUGUCAUUCGAUACUGGAUAUCUAGAGUACAGUAGAGGGUAGUGGAAUUUCCAGUGUAGCGGUGAAAUGCGUAGAGAUUGGAAAGAACACCGGUGGCGAAGGCGGCUACCUGGACUGAUACUGACACUGAGGCGCGAAAGCGUGGGUAGCGAACAGG